UACGGGGGGGGCAAGCGUUGUUCGGAAUUACUGGGCGUAAAGGGCGCGUAGGCGGUUUGCUAAGUUGGAUGUGAAAACUCUGGGCUUAACCCAGAGCCUGCAUCCAAAACUGGCUGACUUGAGUACUGGAGGGGAAAGCGGAAUUCCUGGUGUAGCGGUGAAAUGCGUAGAUAUCAGGAGGAACACCGAUGGCGAAGGCAGGUCUCUGGGCAUUAACUGACGCUGAGGAGCGAAAGCAUGGGGAGCGAACAGG
rnacentral:rRNA from 1 species